rnacentral:rRNA from 1 species
UUGGAGGGCAAGUCUGGUGCCAGCAGCCGCGGUAAUUCCAGCUCCAAUAGCGUAUAUUAAAGUUGUUGCAGUUAAAAAGCUCGUAGUUGAAUUUCGGGAUCAUCAGGUUGGUCGUGCCUCUGGUAUGUACUUUCCUCGAUGGUUCCUCCUUCUUGAAGAACCGUAAUGCCAUUAAUUUGGUGUUGCGGGGAAUCUGGACUGUUACUUUGAAAAAAUUAGAGUGUUUAAAGCAGGCUAACGCUUGAAUACAUUAGCAUGGAAUAAUGAAAUAGGACGAUCAAUCCUAUUUUGUUGGUUUCUAGGAUUGACGUAAUGAUUAAUAGGGAUAGUUGGGGGCAUUAGUAUUCAAUUGUCAGAGGUGAAAUUCUUGGAUUUAUUGAAGACUAACUACUGCGAAAGCAUUUGCCAAGGAUGUUUUCAUUAAUCAAGAACGAAAGUUAGGGGAUCGAAGACGAUCAGAUACCGUCGUAGUCUUAACCAUAAACUAUGCCGACUAGGGAUCGGAUGAUGUUAAUUUUUUAAUGACUCAUUCGGCGCCUUACGGGAAAGCCUUACGGGAAA